rnacentral:lncRNA from 1 species
CUUGUGCCACGGUGGCCCAAAUGUCAGUCAACCAGACAUGUCUUCUGAGAGGUAAGUUUUUGAAAAAUACUAGACUUUUCUCAAAUGUAUUUCUUUACAGGAAUAAAAAGAAAGCUAAUUUUGCAUGAGCAUGCAGGAAGUCUGCAGACAGACAUUCUACAUAGUCCCUUGGGGACUCAGUAGAAGUGGAAUCAAGACCAACCCAAGCCCAACAAGGCAGCUCCGCUGGUUAAUGCCUCCCAGAUCUGUCAUCUGUGAUAAAGAGCCUCGCUGUAGCUGAGGAGCUGGCCAAGAACCUUUCCCAGUUAGCCAAGUUCGUGAAGAAGUCACAUGUGGUGAAUAUAUUAUCAUCAGAAUGCGGAGCAAUGAAAUGUAAACAGAUAGGAAUCGUCACUAAAGCUCCAACUGCAGCCUCCGGGUGCCAUAGCUUUUGCACCAUCCAUUUGCACCAUCUCUGCAUUGCUCUCAAUCACUGCCACGAGUCUGGUGAUGCGCUAAGCUCGGGGCAGGAUCUCAAGGGCUUUGAGGUAAAUAAGGUACCCUCUGUGGGCUCUGUUUCAAUUAGAUGCUAGAGCAAUUGUCAUCAUUUUAGAGAACAAAGAUACUGUGAUCGAAAACCGUGAAGGCUGCUGUCUAUGUCAUGCUUGUCCCUAGUUUACAUGCAUUUUCCAGAUAACCAAAUCCAAUAAGCCCUGAGUGCACCCUGAUCCCCUCUCCACUCCCGUGUCAGCUCCAAAUGGAUGGAAGAUGACAGGAAGGAACUAGCUGGGACACAGAGCAAAACUUCUAGAGUUAAUGAGACAGUAACUCUCAUCUUAGUUCCUGAUGACUAGGAGCAUAUGAUUUUCCUGAGGGACCUGUUAAACAAGUCCCAUCUCUCUUGAGUUUCAGCUUACAUAGCCAGAAAAUAAAUCCUUUCCCUGUUCCAAGCAAAGUACUAGGACAUCUUGCUUCUCUUGCCUCUACAGACAGCAAGAUGACUUCAUGGCUUUCUCUUUCACCACAGUCACUGGUGCUCAGUACAAAUGAGACUCACCUUAGAAAGAAAGAAAAGAAAGAAAGAAAGAGAAAAAGAGGGG